GACGAACGCUGGCGGCGUGCCUAAUACAUGCAAGUCGAACGCAGUGGGGACGGGUGAGUGACACGUGGGUAACCUCCAAUCAGAGGGGAUAACACUUGGAAACAGGUGCUAAAACGAUACUGAUGGAUGGACCCGCGGUGCAUUAGCUCGUUGGUGAGGUAACGGCUCACCAAGGCCAAGAGUCAUAGCGUGCCGGAGAGGGUGAUCGGCCAAACUGGGACUGAGACACGGCCCAGACUCCUACGGGAGGCAGCAGUAGGGAAUCUUCGGCAAUGGACGAAAGUCUGACCGAGAAACGCCGCGUGAGUGAAGAAGGUUUUCGGAUCGUAAAACUCUGUUGUUAGAGAAGCGGUAUCUAACCAGAAAGCCACGGCUAACUACGUGCCAGCAGCCGCGGUAAUUC
rnacentral:rRNA from 1 species